rnacentral:rRNA from 1 species
GUGCCAGCCGCCGCGGUAAUACGGAGGGUGCAAGCGUUGUCCGGAAUUAUUGGGUGUAAAGGGUGUGCAGGCGGGGCGGUAAGUCAGGGGUGAAAGUCUACGGCUCAACCGUAGGAUGGCCUUUGAUACUGUCGUCCUUGAGUCCCGGAGAGGCCAUUAGAAUUCGUGGUGUAGCGGUGAAAUGCGUAGAUAUCACGAGGAAUACCGGAAGCGUAGGCGGAUGGCUGGACGGCGACUGACGCUCAGGCACGAAAGCGUGGGGAGCGAACAGGAUUAGAUACCCUGGUAGUCCACGCUGUAAACGAUGGAUGCUCGGUGUUCGACUCCGUUAGCGGGUUGAGUGCCCAAGUUAACGCAAUAAGCAUCCCACCUGGGGAGUACGCUCGCAAGAGUGAAACUUAAAGAAAUUGACGG